rnacentral:rRNA from 1 species
AGUGAACGCUGGCGGUAGGCCUAACACAUGCAAGUCGAACGGCAGCACAGUAAGAGCUUGCUCUUACGGGUGGCGAGUGGCGGACGGGUGAGGAAUACAUCGGAAUCUACUUUUUCGUGGGGGAUAACGUAGGGAAACUUACGCUAAUACCGCAUACGACCUACGGGUGAAAGCAGGGGAUCUUCGGACCUUGCGCGACUGAAUGAGCCGAUGUCGGAUUAGCUAGUUGGCGGGGUAAAGGCCCACCAAGGCGACGAUCCGUAGCUGGUCUGAGAGGAUGAUCAGCCACACUGGAACUGAGACACGGUCCAGACUCCUACGGGAGGCAGCAGUGGGGAAUAUUGGACAAUGGGCGCAAGCCUGAUCCAGCCAUACCGCGUGGGUGAAGAAGGCCUUCGGGUUGUAAAGCCCUUUUGUUGGGAAAGAAAAGCAGCAGAUUAAUACCCCGCUGUUCUGACGGUACCCAAAGAAUAAGCACCGGCUAACUUCGUG